rnacentral:misc_RNA from 1 species
ACAAGGUUUCCGUAGGUGAACCUGCGGAAGGAUCAUUAAAGAAAUUUAAUAAUUUUGAAAAUGGAUUUUUUUGUUUUGGCAAGAGCAUGAGAGCUUUUACUGGGCAAGAAGACAAGAGAUGGAGAGUCCAGCCGGGCCUGCGCUUAAGUGCGCGGUCUUGCUAGGCUUGUAAGUUUCUUUCUUGCUAUUCCAAACGGUGAGAGAUUUCUGUGCUUUUGUUAUAGGACAAUUAAAACCGUUUCAAUACAACACACUGUGGAGUUUUCAUAUCUUUGCAACUUUUUCUUUGGGCAUUCGAGCAAUCGGGGCCCAGAGGUAACAAACACAAACAAUUUUAUCUAUUCAUUAAAUUUUUGUCAAAAACAAGAAUUUUCGUAACUGGAAAUUUUAAAAUAUUAAAAACUUUCAACAACGGAUCUCUUGGUUCUCGCAUCGAUGAAGAACGCAGCGAAAUGCGAUACGUAAUGUGAAUUGCAGAAUUCCGUGAAUCAUCGAAUCUUUGAACGCACAUUGCGCCCCUUGGUAUUCCAGGGGGCAUGCCUGUUUGAGCGUCAUUUCCUUCUCAAACAUUCUGUUUGGUAGUGAGUGAUACUCUUUGGAGUUAACUUGAAAUUGCUGGCCUUUUCAUUGGAUGUUUUUUUUCCAAAGAGAGGUUUCUCUGCGUGCUUGAGGUAUAAUGCAAGUACGGUCGUUUUAGGUUUUACCAACUGCGGCUAAUCUUUUUUUAUACUGAGCGUAUUGGAACGUUAUCGAUAAGAAGAGAGCGUCUAGGCGAACAAUGUUCUUAAAGUUUGACCUCAAAUCAGGUAGGAGUACCCGCUGAACUUAAGCAUAUCAAUAA